AGAUCAAUAGUUUUAAUGUUUUGAAAGCAUUAGCUAGACUGGUGAGUCUUUGAUCUU
rnacentral:tRNA from 1 species